CAUCUGGGGAUACUCUCAGAUCUCGGUGCUCAGCCCAGCUUCCUUCAAAAUGUCUACUGUUCAUGAAAUCCUGUGCAAGCUCAGCUUGGAGGGUGAACACUCUACACCCCUAAGUGCAUAUGGGUCAGUCAAAGCCUACACCAACUUUGAUGCUGAACAGGAUACUUCGAACACUGAAAUGGCCAUCAAGACCAAAGGUGUGGAUGAGAUCACCACUGUCAACAUUUUGACUAACCACAGCAAUGCACAGAGACAGGAUAUUGCCUUCACCUGCCAGAGAAGGACCAAAAAGGAACUUGCAUCAGCACCGAAGUCAGCCUUAUUUGGCCACCUAGAUAGUGGCUUUGGGCCUAUUAAAGACACCUGCUCAGUAUGACGCUUCUGAGCUAAAAGCUUCCAUGAAGGGGCUGGGAACCAACGAGGACUCCCUCAUUGAGAUCAUCUGCUGGAAAACCAACCAGGAGCUGCAGGAAAUUAACAGAGUCUAAAGGAAAUGUACAAGACUGAUCUGGAGAAGGACAUUAUUUCAGACACAUCUGGUGACUUCUGCAAGUCACCAGAUGUGUUGCCCUAGCAAAGGGUAGAAGAGCAGAAGAUGGUUCUGUCAUUGAUUAUGAACUGAUUGACCAAAAUGCCCGGGAUCUCUAUGACACUGGGGUGAAGAGGAAAGGAACUGAUGUUCCCAAGUGGAUCACCAUCAUGACCGAGCACAGCAUGUCCCACCUCCAGAAAGUAUUUGAUAGGUACAAGAGCUACAGCCCUUAUGACAUGUUGGAGAGCAUCAAGAAAGAGGUUAAUGGAGACCAAGAAAAUGCUUUCCUGAAGCUGGUCCAGUGUAUUCAGAACAAGCCCCUGUAUUUUGCUGACUGGCUGUACCACUCCAUGAAGGGCAAGAGGACUCGAGAUAAAGGUACUACUGAUCAGAAUCAUGGUCUCCCACAAUGAAGUGGACAUGUUGAAAAUUAGGUCUGAAUUCAAGAGAAAAGUACAGCAAGUCCCUGUACUAUUACAUCCAGCAAGACACUAAGGGUGCUGUACCUGUGUGUUGGAGAUGGCUGAAGCCCAACACAGCAUGAGCAUCCAGAAAUGAUGCUCCCCAUGCUUCCAGCUAACAGGUCCAGAAAACCAGCUUGUGACUAACAGUCCCUGUGGCUGUUCCUGUGAGGAUAUUAGCAUUGCCCCCAACCUCAUUUUAGUUGCCUAAGCAGUGCCUGGCUUUCCUGUCUAGUUUCUCCUGUAAGCCAAAGAAAUGAACAUUCCCAGGAGUUGGAAGUGAAGUCUAUGAUGUGAAACACUUUGCCUCCUGUGUACUGUGUCAUAAACAGAUUAAUAAACUGAAUCUGUACUUUAGAAACAAGU